rnacentral:rRNA from 1 species
GUCGAACGGCAGCAUAGGAGCUUGCUCCUGAUGGCGAGUGGCGAACGGGUGAGUAAUAUAUCGGAACGUGCCCUAGAGUGGGGGAUAACUAGUCGAAAGACUAGCUAAUACCGCAUACGAUCUACGGAUGAAAGUGGGGGAUCGCAAGACCUCAUGCUCCUGGAGCGGCCGAUAUCUGAUUAGCUAGUUGGUGGGGUAAAAGCUCACCAAGGCGACGAUCAGUAGCUGGUCUGAGAGGACGACCAGCCACACUGGGACUGAGACACGGCCCAGACUCCUACGGGAGGCAGCAGUGGGGAAUUUUGGACAAUGGGGGCAACCCUGAUCCAGCAAUGCCGCGUGAGUGAAGAAGGCCUUCGGGUUGUAAAGCUCUUUUGUCAGGGAAGAAACGGUUCUGGAUAAUACCUGGAGCUAAUGACGGUACCUGAAGAAUAAGCACCGGCUAACUACGUGCCAGCAGCCGCGGUAAUACGUAGGGUGCAAGCGUUAAUCGGAAUUACUGGGCGUAAAGCGUGCGCAGGCGGUUGUGUAAGUCAGAUGUGAAAUCCCCGGGCUCAACCUGGGAAUUGCAUUUGAGACUGCACGGCUAGAGUGUGUCAGAGGGGGGUAGAAUUCCACGUGUAGCAGUGAAAUGCGUAGAUAUGUGGAGGAAUACCGAUGGCGAAGGCAGCCCCCUGGGAUAACACUGACGCUCAUGCACGAAAGCGUG